rnacentral:rRNA from 1 species
CAGUCGCCACGGUAAUACGGAGGGGGCUAGCGUUGUUCGGAAUUACUGGGCGUAAAGCGCACGUAGGCGGCUUGGUAAGUUAGAGGUGUAAGCCUGGAGCUCAACUCCAGAAUUGCCUUUAAGACUGCCGAGCUAGCAGGUGAGAGAGGUAAGUGGAAUUCCGAGUGUAGAGGUGAAAUUCGUAGAUAUUCGGAAGAACACCAGUGGCGAAGGCGGCUUACUGGCUCAUACUGGACGCUGAGGUGCGAAAGCGUGGGGAGCAAACAGGAUUAGAUACCCGAGUAGUCCCUGUCUCUUAUAC